GCGAAACGGAUUAGAUACCCGUGUAGUCCUAGCCGUAAACGAUGUUCGCUAGCUUUGUCUUGCUUGCAAGGCGAGGUGUAAGCUAACGCGUUAAGCGAACCGCCUGGGGACUACGGCCGCAAGGCUAAAACUCAAAGGAAUUGACGGGGACCCGCACAACCGGUGGAGCGUGUGGUUCAAUUCGAGACAAAACGAAGAACCUCACCAGGGCUUGACAUGUAAUCGUUUAUCUUUUUGGAAACAGAAGGAAAUCCGUAAGGAUGAUUACACAGGUGCUGCAUGGCUGUCGUCAGCUCGUGCCGUGAGGUGUUCCCUUAAGUGGGGAAACGAGCGCAACCCCCGUCCAAUGUUAAAUAUUCAUUGGAGACGGUCCCAGUUUUUGGGAAGGAAGGAGGGGAAGACGUCGAGUCAGCACGGCCCUUACGCCCUGGGCUACACACACACUACAAUGACGAAAAACAACGGGUUGCAACACGGCAACGUGAAGCUAAUCCCUGAAAUUUCGCCUCAGUUCAGAUUGGGGGCUGAAACUCGCCCCCAUGAAGUCGGAAUCGGUAGUAAUCGCAGAUCAGCAAGCUGCGGUGAAUACGUUCUCGGGUCUUGUACACACCGCCCGUCAAGGCAGCAAAGUCGGUAGCUAUCGAAUAUGCAUUU
rnacentral:rRNA from 1 species